GGAGGUGUAGCAUAAGUGGGAGGCUCUGCCGCCAGUGAAAUACCACUACUCUCAAUGUUGUUUUACUUACUUCAUGAAAUAGCAGCUAGCGUCUGCGAAGGCGUCUAGUUUUAGCGCGACGUGCUACAUGAAAGACAAUCGUUAGGUGGGGAGUUUGGCUGGGGC
rnacentral:ncRNA from 1 species